rnacentral:rRNA from 1 species
UACGGAGGGGACUAGCGUUGUUCGGAAUUACUUGGCGUAAAGCGCACGUAGGCGGAUUUGUAAGUCAGGGGUGAAAUCCCGGGGCUCAACCUCGGAACUGCCUUUGAUACUGCAAAUCUCGAGUCCGGAAGAGGUGAGUGGAAUUCCUAGUGUAGAGGUGAAAUUCGUAGAUAUUAGGAAGAACACCAGUGGCGAAGGCGGCUCACUGGUCCGGUACUGACGCUGAGGUGCGAAAGCGUGGGGAGCAAACAGG